rnacentral:ncRNA from 1 species
ACUGGCGCUAGGGUAGCUCCCGAAAAGUGACCCCAAUCACCUGUGCCAGUUCCUCUUUAUGGGA